GACGAACGCUGGCGGCGUGCUUAAUACACGCAAGUCAACUGAACUUAAGAUAGCAAUAUUUUAAGGGUAGGUGGCGCACGGGUGAGUAACACGUAGGUAAUCUGCCUUUAGGUCUGACACAACCCCGAGAAAUCGGGGCUAAUAUCAGAUGAUGCAGCGGCUCGACAUCGAGACAGUUGUUAAACCUUCGGGGCCUAAAGAUGAGCCUGCGUCUGAUUAGGUAGUUGGCGGAGUAAAAGCCCACCAAGCCUGCGAUCAGUAGCUGGUCUGAGAGGAUGAUCAGCCACACUGGAACUGAGACACGGUCCAGACUCCUACGGGAGGCAGCAGUAAGGAAUAUUGCUCAAUGGCCGAAAGGCUGAAGCAGCAACGCCGCGUGGAGGAUGAAAUACUUUUGUAUGUAAACUCCUGUAAGAAGGGAAAAUAUUCCGAUUUACCGGGAUUGAUUGUACCUUCAGAGUAAGCCCCGGCUAACUACGUGCCAGCAGCCGAC
rnacentral:rRNA from 1 species